rnacentral:lncRNA from 1 species
UUGCGGGGGGUGGAGAUGGUGAAAAUCUCUGGUGUGGAUGGGAGGCGGGAGGGAAUUAUCGUGGGCCGUCGCGGGAUCCAUUUUUUUUUCUUUAAAACAAAAAAAGGACAACUCUCUGCUUCUUCUUCUUUCUUUCUCACUCCGACUAUUUGACUAUUUCUUCCUCUUUUCUUUUAGGACUUUCAUUGGCUCGGCUGGAUUUUAACUUGUUUAGAAUAGGAGCUAUUUAGGAUUUUGUUUUCCUUUUCAACCUAUGAAGAUUGGAUACACA